CCUUGACAUCCAGAGAAUUUAGCAGAGACGCUUUAGUGCCUUCGGGAACUCUGAGACAGGUGCUGCAUGGCUGUCGUCAGCUCGUGUUGUGAAAUGUUGGGUUAAGUCCCGNAACGAGCGCAACCCCUAUCCUUUGUUGCCAGCGAUUCGGUCGGGAACUCAAAGGAGACUGCCGGUGAUAAACCGGAGGAAGGUGGGGAUGACGUCAAGUCAUCAUGGCCCUUACGAGUAGGGCUACACACGUGCUACAAUGGCGCAUACAAAGAGAAGCGACCUCGCGAGAGCAAGCGGACCUCAUAAAGUGCGUCGUAGUCCGGAUUGGAGUCUGCAACUCGACUCCAUGAAGUCGGAAUCGCUAGUAAUCGUAGAUCAGAAUGCUACGGUGAAUACGUUCCCGGGCCUUGUACACACCGCCCGUCACACCAUGGGAGUGGGUUGCAAAAGAAGUAGAUAGCUUAACCUUCGGGAGGGCGUUUACCACUUUGUGGUUCAUGACUGGGGUGAAGUCGUAACAAGGUAGGCGUAGCGAG
rnacentral:rRNA from 1 species